GCCGACGUAGCUCAGUGGUAGAGCAGCUGAUUCGUAAUCAGCAGGUCCGGGGUUCAAAUCCCCGCGUCGGCU
rnacentral:tRNA from 1 species